rnacentral:lncRNA from 1 species
CACCUACCUUCAUCUCCUCGUUGAUCUCCCGCUUCACCGGGAUUCUGUUACCGAUGAGUCCGCGUGCGCAACCUCUCAUCAAACGCAAGAGGUGCUCCCAGGAUCUCAGCAUCUCUCUCCCAUGGCAGGGACGGGAUAGGCAGCACGAGGGGAAGUUGCUUAUAAGCACCGUCGUGUAGCGUCAGAGCUGCAGGUUUGAAAGCUCUGAGAGCCAACCUCACAGAACCUUCCUGCUCUGAGGCACCAGCACCUUGCUCAUUCACGAAAUCACUCUGAGGAAGAAGGCAAAAUGAAUUUUUGCAUUAGGGACACAUCACUGGUUUCUCCGUAGUGCUGAUAACACAACUUUAGUGAAAAUCUCGGACCUUUUGCUACACAGAAUAACCAUGUUGCCCUGAAUGGUUAUUGUUUAGUGAAACAUCUGAAAACACAUAAUAGACUACUUGUUUGCAACGCUUGCUAUAGAUUUUGUAAUGAAGUGCCGUUGCGCUGCAUCAAUUUGACAGUUCGAGUUGAUAAUUUGACAGAAAGAUUAAUCCUAAACUCCCAGCAUAAACAGAAUUCCCUUUAAUGUCAGAAGGGACUUUGUAACUGCCAGCCCAAACGCUGCGGAUGGGCUUCAGCAGGUUACAGAGAGCGUCUUCAGGAUCAAAUUUGACAUUCCUCUUCCUGACUAACAGUUGGUAGUUGAAAAUAGAACACCUCUCCCAGUUCUGAAUUCUGACCCUCACUUCUUGCUCACCCAAACCGAGGACUUCCAGACUUCUUUUCCCAAACGCUCACCGCGAAGGCUUUUGAAUGCAGAUGUUCACUCGUGUCUCCUGACAGUAGGCUCAGUUUUCUCAGCUACUUUUAGUAAGCUCCUAAAAACAGCCCACGGUCCCUCAGAACCUCAUCAACAACUGGCUAAAAGCCACGGUCUCACUGUAUCCUUUUUUCUUUUGGUAUCUGCUACAGACUUUGGACAGGUACAAAAGUUCUACCUCUCUGGGUCCAGGUCUCUCUGUCUGACAGCACGUUAUUUCUGCAGCUGUCACAUCUCCUCAUUUUCUAGAGCUGUUAUUACCUUUACAUAAUACGUAUUAUUAUAUUACAUAUUCUUCAGAAGUUGUUCUUCCAGUGGCAACAUAUGGAGGACCAUCAACCGUCAAGACGGAAGUUCAUGCAACUGUCAAGACUGAAUUUCAUGCAUUCAGAAUGCUUAGGCACCAUCUGACACUCGUAGGUACUGAAAUAAGAUUUGGAAGCUGUCUGAUUGUUCCGUGCGUUAAUGGGGAGGCAAAGGCUAAAAAAGGGAGGCUUUUAUGUUUUAGUGUGGUAGUUCAUGAACCCAUAAGGGAGAGCAGAAUAUCGGAAUCUGCAGAAGCCAUAAAUAUUUCAGUCAUAGAGUGGCAUUGAUCUGAACAUCUCCAAAAAGUUAAGAAAAAUAAAUCUGGUGUUUACGUUACAGAGACCCUAACGUUAAAUACAUCUACUGAACUGUGACAGCACACAUUUCUUGUGUGAAAGCCUAUAUUUCUGAUAAGGAAACCUGGUUCAGCAGCGCUCAAUAUGGAUUCUGGAUAACAUCUUAAAGAGGUCAGUAGGGGUGGCUGAUCGGAUCGGUAGCACAGUUCUUGUUCGUUCUACCAGGCAGAGGUACAGAGCAAUGUGGCAUCGGUAGGCAGAUAUCAGCCAAAGAUAAAAUCCUGACCCUGUGGAAAUCAGUGAAGGUUUUUUUUUCCCCUGGUGAAAUAUUCGAGGGGAUUUUUUGUUGAUUCUAUCAUUUAGUGUGGAUUGGAAAGAAAUGAUUCCAUUUUCUUUGGGGAAAAAAAAAAAAAAAGGAAGGUUUUCCAAAUACAUUUCCAUUUUCUGAAGCAAAAUUUAGAUUUUCUCAAAGAAAGGAGGAAAAAAAGAUGAUACUCCUUAUUGUAACUCAUCUUUAAGGAGGCUGGGAACUUCAGGCUCCCCACAGUGAGCCCCAGUUGCAGUGCCGUCCAUAGACUCUCACUGCUUUAUCUGCUGAAGAGUUUUGUG